rnacentral:pre_miRNA from 1 species
AUACAAAUCACCUUGGGGAGGGCUUAUUUAAAAAAGUAUGUUCUGAUUUAGUUAUUCUGGUGUAGGGGGUUGAGAUCCUGAAUUUCUAACAAGCUCCCAGGUGAUGCCGAA